GACGAACGCUGGCGGCGUGCUUAACACAUGCAAGUCGAGCGGUAAGGCUCCUUCGGGAGUACACGAGCGGCGAACGGGUGAGUAACACGUGAGCAAUCUGCCCUUCACUUUGGGAUAACCACCGGAAACGGUGGCUAAUACCGAAUACGACUACUCCAGGCAUCUGGUGGUAGUGGAAAGUUCUGGCGGUGAAGGAUGAGCUCGCGGCCUAUCAGCUUGUUGGUGAGGUAAUGGCUCACCAAGGCUUCGACGGGUAGCCGGCCUGAGAGGGUGACCGGCCACACUGGGACUGAGACACGGCCCAGACUCCUACGGGAGGCAGCAGUGGGGAAUAUUGGACAAUGGGCGAAAGCCUGAUCCAGCAACGCCGCGUGAGGGAUGACGGCCUUCGGGUUGUAAACCUCUUUCAGUGGGGACGAAGCGAAAGUGACGGUACCCACAAAAGAGGCACCGGCCAACUACGUGCCAGCAGCCGCGGUAAUACGUAGGGUGCGAGCGUUGUCCGGAAUUAUUGGCGUAAAGGGCUCGUAGGCGGUUUGUUGCCUCGGGAGUGAAAACUCAGGGCUUAACCCUGAGCCUGCUUCCGAUACGGGCAGACUAGAGGUAUGCAGGGGAGAACGGAAUUCCUGGUGUAGCGGUGAAAUGCGCAGAUAUCAGGAGGAACACCGGUGGCGAAGGCGGUUCUCUGGGCAUUACCUGACGCUGAGGAGCGAAAGUGUGGGGAGCGAACAGGAUUAGAUACCCUGGUAGUCCACACCGUAAACGUUGGGCGCUAGGUGUGGGACUCAUUCCACGAGUUCCGUGCCGCAGCUAACGCAUUAAGCGCCCCGCCUGGGGAGUACGGCCGCAAGGCUAAA
rnacentral:rRNA from 1 species